rnacentral:rRNA from 1 species
GGGGCACCACCAGGAGUGGAGCCUGCGGCUUAAUUUGACUCAACACGGGGAAACUCACCCGGCCCGGACACCGGAAGGAUUGACAGAUUGAUAGCUCUUUCUUGAUUCGGUGGAUGGUGGUGCAUGGCCGUUCUUAGUUGGUGGAGCGAUCUGUCUGGUUAAUUCCGAUAACGAACGAGACUCUAGCCUAUUAAAUAGACGUCGGGUUCUCUGCACUCGACGGUCUUCUUAGAGGGACAAGGUGCUUUUAGCACCGCGAAACAGAGCAAUAACAGGUCUGUGAUGCCCUUAGAUGCCCGGGGCCGCACGCGCGCUACACUGAAGGAAGCAGCGUGUAACAACCUUGUUCUAACGAACUGGGUAACCCGUGGAACUUCCUUCAUGAUUGGGAUAGGGGUUUGCAAUUUUGCCCCUUGAACGAGGAAUUCCCAGUAAACACUAGUCAUCAGCUAGUGCUGAUUACGUCCCUGCCCUUUGUACACACCGCCCGUCGCUACUACCGAUUAAAUGGUUUAGUGA